AGAAAUGAAUUCCGCGAUCAUGAAUUGUAAUGAAGAUAUCGAUCACACUGAAAUACACUUCGAGACAGGAGUAGCAUUAACCAACGCAUCGUUUAUAUACAGCGGGGGCAUAGCGAAUUCUUGCCAGUAGUCUAAUGAGAUUCAUUAUAUGUCUCCAUGGUUACCUGUCCAUAGUUUCCGGUGCCCCAGCCUGAGUUAAAGCAAUGAGGGCUGCUGUUCUCACAAAGAGUGAUGUUUACUUUUUGGUUACAAAACAACUUCAGAGGAACGGGGCAUAGUGGUGUGUACACUGGACAUGACACUAACAGGAAUUGUCGUGAUGGGAAAACACGGACUUAGUUACACUCCUGAUCCUCUGUCAAACAGGGGAAGCUAAAGGAAUGUUUUAUCUCGGAGUAUUAACCGAACGAACGUUCGAAGGACGAAGUCUAUAAGAAUUGACGAACCGGACUCUGACAACAUCAACUGUAUUAGAAGUACUCCUCCACAAGACCUUUAUAGACGACUGCCCAGUGUCCACGUAGCUUAACAGGCUCUGAAAAAAAAUCGCUGCUACCGCUGACCCUCUUACUAUAUACGUGUGCUCAGAGGCAGUAUCUGGCAUGUCUUUUGAGUCGAGAGCUAAGCUUGGCUGCCAGAUAACAGGAUGGUUCAACGAAGCAGUCCGGAUGCUAACCGACGUGGACAUCCUUUUAAUCCCCGUGACGAGAAGCAACUACAGCUAUCUUCACACUACAUCAAUACUAACUCUGGAAAACCUGUCCUGCUCUGGGACUCCGACUAUUCCGCCCAAAUCAGACGCUCCUUCCUCUUUGGAACCCCUCGAGAUACCUCUGCUCUCUUGACGCUGAACACCUGAUCCUGGAUGGAACCUCUGCCCUCGUACAACCUAUUCACUCAGCUCUUUGCCGUGCACGGCCUGUUUGACGAUAACUGGCACAUCCCCCUAUCCUAUGGACUCCUGCAACCACAAGCAAGCGAUGGACCGGAAAUUCAACAAUACAUCUCCAUGGCUUGGCGGUUCUUCCUACAGACAUGGUGGAGUUCUGCAGUUUCUAAGAGUCUACAUGGAUCGGGACCUCUUCAACCAAUCCUACCUUCGCUCACUACAAAUGGAACCUGCACGAUUCCACCAAGAUGCUGCUUCCUCGGAGUACAAGAUAGCAGAAGGAUGGCUCCACAGAUUCCACUCCAUGUUAUCCUGUUCAAAUCCUACUUUCUGGAAGUUUCUGGACUGUCUGAAAGUGGAUAAAGUAUGAAGAAAGACUGCAGACUGUUGUUGACGUUGUCACCUCAUACGACGAGUAUGAGGUGCUUGAUUUUCUAAUAGUUAUUGGGGGGUUUCUAUUGGAUUUUAUGAUUUAAAUUUAUUAAUAUGACUCUAAAAUUGAUUAACGUGUUACGGGUAAACCGCCCCUAAAACGUCACCUGUUUUUUGGGCCCAGAUUGCCGAGUUAGGGCUAAAUUUACAGGGUUCUGAAGUGUCUAGGAAUAAUAUUUAAACCUUUUUCUAGCCUGCCAGGAAGAUUUGGAAAUUUGAAAAUAAAAUCAGGUACAAUUUUUUUGACGUUGAAAUGGAGUCACUUUUAAAACACCACCCCUAAAAUGUCAACUCUAUAUGUGUGAUAAAUACAAAAUGUACAGGAGGCCUGAUUUAUCUUUUGUCAC